rnacentral:misc_RNA from 1 species
CUAAGGUGGUGAUCACUCCAGUUCGGCGUGGUGGCCGCUUCGGGGAAGGUGAUUUGAAUGCCGUUGCUCUCCCUCUUGGAAUGUCUUUUGCUGCUAUUGUUGCUCAGGUUCUUGAGAGGAAAGAUGUGGCAGGGGGAAAGAAGNCGUUGAUUAUCUUUCAAAGAUUUGUGCUUUAGCUGUUGGAGAAUCUUUAGCUAAUGUCGUCGGUGAAAAAUUUGAAUUUUUUGCCAGGAACUUUGAGAAAUCAUUUGGGAGUACAUUGAGGACCCUUAGAUUGAUUAAUGAAGCAUCCAGCAACAAGGAAGCAUAUCGCUUAAGCCACCUGAAUGUAGAAAGCUGGGCUUCACACUUGACUCUUGAAAAUGGGGUUGAUUGUAGUAGCUCUGGCAUCAAGGAUUAUCAAUCAGAAACUGAGUUGCCUUCCAUCUCAGCCCAAAAUCAAGUGCAUGUGGCUGAAGAUGUAGAAGAGAGCGUUCCUUGCUUGAACCAGGAACUUCCCUUGAGUGGACAAUUAAACCAACAGAUUUGUGUUCCAAGUUUAUUAGGUUCUGUAAUCAACCAUUGCAGCACUAUUGAGAAAUUGGUCAUGGAGGAAGCGCGUUCUAAUGACCUGAAGACAUUGGAGAUUGGUCUUACAAUGAAAAAAUUGGAGUUAAAAGAGGCACAGCUGGCUCUUAGCUUUGA